AUACUUACCUGGCAGGGGAGAUACCAUGAUGACGAAGGGGGUUUUCCCAGGGCGAGGCUUAUCCAUUGCACUCCGGAUGUGCUGACCCCUGCGAUUUCCCCAAAUGUGGGAAACUCGACUGCAUAAUUUGUGGUAGUGGGGGACUGCAUUCGCGCUUUCCCCUU
ensembl:snRNA U1 U1 spliceosomal RNA